rnacentral:misc_RNA from 1 species
UCGACGUUCCCCUUCGUCUUUUCCAGCCCCUUUCAUCUGACGCGCAAACGACGACGCGACGGCAUCAUGAGCGCAUCGCGUUUUCCCUUGUUGGCAGCGGGAAGCUACGGAUGAAAACGCGCCAAAGGGCUGAAAAGCAGAGAGGAUGCUCGCUCUCUUUGGCACGACAGCACGACAGGUGCCCUUGGACGUUGUCCAUGCUGCUCGUUACACCCUCACGUGCGGCCAUGAGUUCUUCAUCCGCAGUGUCUAAUCCUGUACGCUACUUUUCCAUUGCUUCAUCACGGUUUCAGUGCAGUUCUUACAUUCUCCUUUACUGUUCGUUUUGCAUUUCCCUCUGCAUUGCGUUGUCGUCAACGUGUCACCAUGCGGCCUCCCAGCUCCCGGUUUUGUGAGGAAGCUGGCACGCCGACAGCUCGCUGCGCCCUCGGCGGUUUUGUGCGGGUGGCAGUCUACGCGGACUGCGCAACAAGAGAGACCCCCCUCCUCCCCCUUCCUCCCCCCUCACCAAUAUGUGUAAGCACACCUGCGACGGCGCAAGAAUGUGUGACGGCCCGUCUCGCAAGUAGCGUAAUGCCUGCGUGUGCUCUCCUCCACACAAAAACAUGUUGGAGCUCUGCUCCACCAGAGUCCAAGCGAUGCUACUCCCAUCGCCGUUAACGGGACGUUUUUGUGGGUCUGCCCAGAAGUCUUCUGAGCGGAUGCACGAGACCCGCGAGCGUAGCAAAGGCGCGGGGGAAAUGUGUUCGCCUAAAUGUUCGCAGAAUGCUGAAAACCGUGUGCAACUAUCAUGAGCGCCAGCAGUCUCCAUCACGUUUUUUUUUUCGCUCGCUCUUUGUCCCUUCUUCCACCCAUCAAGUCGCCCGUGAAGACUGUCUUUUUUUUUCCUCACGUGUGUGUGUGUGUGUGUGUGUGUGUGUGUGUCUGUUUGGAUAUGUAUCCGUUGG